UUUUUUGCUAAUUUUCAAAAAAAAGGGUUCGAUUCAAAGUUGUUUUAUGAGUACAAAGACUAUUGUUUCUCAAUUUAAUUGACAAUUGAAUAAAGAAAAUGGUAGUUUACAGCAAAAUGGUAGUUUCCAGCCUCUCUCCUGUCCACUCCAUAACUCUCUUAGCUGAAGAAAUCUUGAACGCCUCUGCCAGCAAAUACCCUAUCAGACAACUCAGCCAAAACAGCAUUAACAGUAAGCAAAACAAGGCUAGACCCUGCAAUCACCCCAAUCACUACACCUGUGGUCCCCAACACUUUCCCAAAUGCAGGCCACUCUAUCUCCUGGAUCUCUUCCACCACACCGCUCAACAAAUCUCCUUCUUUCUCCCCUUUCUUCAUUGCUCUCUUGAUCUCCGCCCCAACAUCGCUUACCUCGCCACUUGCCUCAUCCGACGAUUGCUCUUCCUUCGUGGCCUCAGAUUCCGUGCUCUCCUGACUCUCCUCCACUGCCCUCGUUAAGAAAACUCCGCUUCUUCCUUUUGCGUUAGCUGUCUUGAAUUUGCAGCGGAAGAAGAGAGGAGACCUACAGGCAGGUGGCGGUUUGAAUUUUAAGGAAGGAUUUGGUUGGGUGAUUCUCGAUAGCUGUGGAUUGAGGGGGAGUUUGAGC
rnacentral:misc_RNA from 1 species